CCAUUUUUCAUGAAAUUUGUACCAAAAUGAAGCUAGGGACAUCCACAAUCACAUUAUAACAGUUUUAAGACCUAAAAACUGCUACAUUUUUCCUAAGGAAAGCUCGAUAGUUUGGCUUACCUAGAAUAGCUUCGAUCUCGGCCCUCCGACGUCCAUUUCCUUCCAAUGAAGUACCCCGAGACUCGUGAGGACCUCCUUAAGCUUCCUGUGAGCUUGAAAUUUCCAAAAACACAAGAUUUAACGUUUGCAUGAACAGUAUCCCAAAUCAGGGUUAUAGUUUCGACAUGAAGACAAAGUUGUCCUUACCUGAAAAUGGUCUAGAUGUGUUCCUGAGCUUGCAAGGAACACGAUGGUACCUUCAACGUCCUCGAUCUAUGAAGUUUGAAUGGAUUUUGGUGUUUGUUCGUACACAAUGCCGAGAGGGAGAAAGAGAGAGAGAGAGUCUGAGAGAUAGAGAGAUAGCACGGGAGAGAAGAGAGAGAAAGGGGUAUGGAUGUGUGUGUGGUCCAAAAAUGCACACCAAUCAAAUUUGUUUAAUCCUUUUGUUCUAAUUGGGUCCAAUUAGUUGGGAAUAGAACUAAUUGACCCAAUUCCUUAACCCAAAACACAAACACACAUCCAACGCUCAAGGGUAAAUCUAUAUUUUCACAACCACGAUAAUUAAUUCUCGGGACGGGCUGUGACAUUUGUUGAACGAGCGAGUUAAGGGGUAUGGCCGGGGCAUAGUAGGGAUGUCCGUUUUCCAAAUUUGUAGCGUUUUAUCGUUGUUUCUAAAGGCUGGUUUGAUAUUGUUGUACUUUGAAAAGAAAAAAAACUGUUUCUACUAUACUGUGAGAAUAAUCUCAUUUUUUCUGCUUUACGUUUUCAACUUUUUUUUAACCAAAAACUAUGAAAAUAAAAUAUUUUUAAGUGUUUACCAAACAUUUUUUUGAGCUGAGUUUUUUUUAUACCCAUUUUUUAUAAAAUUACGUCAGUACCAAAUCAGUACUGAGUUCGAUCGGGUUAAUACAUCAAAUCGUGUGUAUCGUUUUGACAACAGACAACACUGAGUUGCUGAACUUUCAUCCAUAUAUAUCCACCGGCCGUUGGGGUAGCAUGCACAUAUGAGCAAAAGUAUGAAGUGUUUUCUAGAACUCAGAAAAGAUGAGAGAAAUAAAACCCAUCACUUGAGCAGGCAAACCCUCUUGGGGUUUCUAGAAGCAAGUCCCCACUCCCCACACCUUCACCCUUGAAUAUAUAUAAUUCCAUAAUCCCACCAGGAAUAAAUAUCCCUUUGGACUCUUGUCAUUUCCCCAUAUUAUAUUAUUUUAUUUAUGUUAUCAUUUUUCUUUCCAAUACCAUGAUAGAUAA
rnacentral:lncRNA from 1 species